rnacentral:rRNA from 1 species
AGAGUUUGAUCCUGGCUCAGGAUGAACGCUGGCGGCGUGCCUAAUACAUGCAAGUCGAGCGAACGGACGAGAAGCUUGCUUCUCUGAUGUUAGCGGCGGACGGGUGAGUAACACGUGGAUAACCUACCUAUAAGACUGGGAUAACUUCGGGAAACCGGAGCUAAUACCGGAUAAUAUUUUGAACCGCAUGGUUCAAAAGUGAAAGACGGUCUUGCUGUCACUUAUAGAUGGAUCCGCGCUGCAUUAGCUAGUUGGUAAGGUAACGGCUUACCAAGGCAACGAUGCAUAGCCGACCUGAGAGGGUGAUCGGCCACACUGGAACUGAGACACGGUCCAGACUCCUACGGGAGGCAGCAGUAGGGAAUCUUCCGCAAUGGGCGAAAGCCUGACGGAGCAACGCCGCGUGAGUGAUGAAGGUCUUCGGAUCGUAAAACUCUGUUAUUAGGGAAGAACAUAUGUGUAAGUAACUGUGCACAUCUUGACGGUACCUAAUCAGAAAGCCACGGCUAACUACGUGCCAGCAGCCGCGGUAAUACGUAGGUGGCAAGCGUUAUCCGGAAUUAUUGGGCGUAAAGCGCGCGUAGGCGGUUUUUUAAGUCUGAUGUGAAAGCCCACGGCUCAACCGUGGAGGGUCAUUGGAAACUGGAAAACUUGAGUGCAGAAGAGGAAAGUGGAAUUCCAUGUGUAGCGGUGAAAUGCGCAGAGAUAUGGAGGAACACCAGUGGCGAAGGCGACUUUCUGGUCUGUAACUGACGCUGAUGUGCGAAAGCGUGGGGAUCAAACAGGAUUAGAUACCCUGGUAGUCCACGCCGUAAACGAUGAGUGCU